GACGAACGCUGGCGGCGUGCCUAAUACAUGCAAGUAGAACGCACAGUUUAUACCGUAGCUUGCUACACCAUAGACUGUGAGUUGCGAACGGGUGAGUAACGCGUAGGUAACCUGCCUGGUAGCGGGGGAUAACUAUUGGAAACGAUAGCUAAUACCGCAUAAUAUUGAUUAUUGCAUGAUAAUUGAUUGAAAGAUGCUAUUGCAUCACUACCAGAUGGACCUGCGUUGUAUUAGCUAGUAGGUGAGGUAACGGCUCACCUAGGCGACGAUACAUAGCCGACCUGAGAGGGGGAUCGGCCACACUGGGACGGAGACACGGCCCAGACUCCUACGGGAGGCAGCAGUAGGGAAUCUUCGGCAAUGGACGAAAGUCUGACCGAGCAACGCCGCGUGAGUGAAGAAGGUUUUCGGAUCGUAAAGCUCUGUUGUAAGAGAAGAACGGGUGUGAGAGUGGAAAGUUCACACUGUGACGGUAUCUUACCAGAAAGGGACGGCUAACUACGUG
rnacentral:rRNA from 1 species